rnacentral:rRNA from 1 species
GCAGCAGGCGCGCAAAUUACCCACUCCCGGCACGGGGAGGUAGUGACGAAAAAUAACAAUACGGGACUCUACCGAGGCCUCGUAAUUGGAAUGAGUACAAUUUAAAAUCCUUAACGAGGAUCUAUUGGAGGGCAAGUCUGGUGCCAGCAGCCGCGGUAAUUCCAGCUCCAAUAGCGUAUAUUAAAGUUGUUGCGGUUAAAAAGCUCGUAGUUGGAUCUCAGUUCUGGGUGAGCACGGGUCCGCCAUAACAUUGGUGGACUGCUGACUUGCCCGGUGCAAAACCGCCCGGCUUCUCCCACGGUGCUCUUCACCGAGUGUCGUGGGUGGCCGACACGUUUACUUUGAGAAAACCAGAGUGCUUAAAGCAGGCGCAAGACGCCCGAAUGACUGUGCAUGGAAUAAUGGAAGAGGAUCUCGCUUCCGUCUUUGUUGGUUCCUCGGAUAGCGAGAUAAUGAUUAAUAGAAGCAGUCGGGGGCAUUCGUAUUGCGACGUUAGAGGUGAAAUUCUUGGAUCGUCGCACGACGAACUACUGCGAAAGCAUUUGCCAAGAAUGUUUUCGUUAAUCAAGAACGAAAGUUAGAGGUUCGAAGGCGAUCAGAUACCGCCCUAGUUCUGACCAUAAACGAUGCCAACUGGCGAUCUGUCCUAGUUACUCGCACGACUGGACAGGCAGCCUCCGAGAAAUCAAAGUCUUUGGGUUCCGGGGGAAGUAUGGUUGCAAAGCUGAAACUUAAAGGAAUUGACGGAAGGGCACCACCAGGAGUGGAGCCUGCGGCUUAAUUUGACUCAACACGGGAAACCUCACCAGGCCCGGACACCAAAAGGAUUGACAGAUUGAGAGCUCUUUCUUGAUUUGGUGGGUGGUGGUGCAUGGCCGUUCUUAGUUGGUGGAGCGAUUUGUCUGGUUAAUUCCGAUAACGAACGAGACUCUAGCCUGUUAACUAGCCGGUGGAUCAGAAAAUUGAUAUGCGGCGAAGUGGUGUUGCUAUCCUCCGGGGUGCAUCCUGCAUAGUCGCGUCCACCGAGUCUUCUUAGAGGGACAGGCGGCGUUUAGCCGCACGAGACGGAGCAAUAACAGGUCUGUGAUGCCCUUAGAUGUCCUGGGCCGCACGCGCGCUACACUGAAGGAGUCAGCGUGCACUCCCAGCCCGAGAGGGCCGGGUAACCCGCUGAAAUUCCUUCGUGAUUGGGAUCGGGGCUUGCAACUAUUCCCCGUGAACGAGGAAUUCCCAGUAAGCGCGAGUCAUGAGCUCGCGUUGAUUACGUCCCUGCCCUUUGUACACACCGCCCGUCGCUACUACCGAUUGAAUGAUUUAGUGAGGCCUUUGGACUGGCUCGCCGGUGCGUGUCACUUGUGGCAUCGUGCUGGUAAUCGGGCCGGGAAGCUGGCCAAACUUGACCAUUUAGAGGAAGUAAAAGUCGUAACAAGGUUUCCGUAGGUGA